ACUUAACGGCCGCGGUAUUUUGACCGUGCAAAGGUAGCGCAAUCACUUGUCUUUUAAAUGAAGACCCGUAUGAAUGGUUAAACGAGGGCUUAACUGUCUCCCUUCUCCAGUCAAUGAAAUUGAUCUAUCCGUGCAGAAGCGGGUAUAAACUCACAAGACGAGAAGACCCUUUGGAGCUUAAGACAAAAGAUCACUUAUGUUAAGUAAAAAAAUAAACUAAAUAAUCCUUGAUCAUAGUCUUCGGUUGGGGCGACCGCGGGAUAAAAUAAAACUCCCGCAAGGACUGAAGAAACCCUUUAAAACCAGAAAGACAUUUCUAAGUCACAGAAUUUCUGACCACAAAGAUCCGGCCACGCCGAUCAACGAACCAGGUUACCCUAGGGAUAACAGCGCAAUCCCCUUUUAGAGUUCCUAUCGACAAGGGGGUUUACGACCUCGAUGUUGGAUCAGGACAUCCUAAUGGUGCAGC
rnacentral:rRNA from 1 species